CAGUCGUACGCUUCUUUUUCACCGGAGCUUGCUCCACCGGAAAAAGAAGAGUGGCGAACGGGUGAGUAACACGUGGGUAACCUGCCCAUCAGAAGGGGAUAACACUUGGAAACAGGUGCUAAUACCGUAUAACAAUCGAAACCGCAUGGUUUUGAUUUGAAAGGCGCUUUCGGGUGUCGCUGAUGGAUGGACCCGCGGUGCAUUAGCUAGUUGGUGAGGUAACGGCUCACCAAGGCCACGAUGCAUAGCCGACCUGAGAGGGUGAUCGGCCACAUUGGGACUGAGACACGGCCCAAACUCCUACGGGAGGCAGCAGUAGGGAAUCUUCGGCAAUGGACGAAAGUCUGACCGAGCAACGCCGCGUGAGUGAAGAAGGUUUUCGGAUCGUAAAACUCUGUUGUUAGAGAAGAACAAGGAUGAGAGUAACUGUUCAUCCCUUGACGGUAUCUAACCAGAAAGCCACGGCUAACUACGUGCCAGCAGCCGCGGUAAUACGUAGGUGGCAAGCGUUGUCCGGAUUUAUUGGGCGUAAAGCGAGCGCAGGCGGUUUCUUAAGUCUGAUGUGAAAGCCCCCGGCUCAACCGGGGAGGGUCAUUGGAAACUGGGAGACUUGAGUGCAGAAGAGGAGAGUGGAAUUCCAUGUGUAGCGGUGAAAUGCGUAGAUAUAUGGAGGAACACCAGUGGCGAAGGCGGCUCUCUGGUCUGUAACUGACGCUGAGGCUCGAAAGCGUGGGGAGCAAACAGGAUUAGAUACCCUGGUAGUCCACGCCGUAAACGAUGAGUGCUAAGUGUUGGAGGGUUUCCGCCCUUCAGUGCUGCAGCUAACGCAUUAAGCACUCCGCCUGGGGAGUACGACCGCAAGGUUGAAACUCAAAGGAAUUGACGGGGGCCCGCACAAGCGGUGGAGCAUGUGGUUUAAUUCGAAGCAACGCGAAGAACCUUACCAGGUCUUGACAUCCUUUGACCACUCUAGAGAUAGAGCUUCCCCUUCGGGGGCAAAGUGACAGGUGGUGCAUGGUUGUCGUCAGCUCGUGUCGUGAGAUGUUGGGUUAAGUCCCGCAACGAGCGCAACCCUUAUUGUUAGUUGCCAUCAUUCAGUUGGGCACUCUAGCAAGACUGCCGGUGACAAACCGGAGGAAGGUGGGGAUGACGUCAAAUCAUCAUGCCCCUUAUGACCUGGGCUACACACGUGCUACAAUGGGAAGUACAACGAGUCGCGAAGUCGCGAGGCUAAGCUAAUCUCUUAAAGCUUCUCUCAGUUCGGAUUGUAGGCUGCAACUCGCCUACAUGAAGCCGGAAUCGCUAGUAAUCGCGGAUCAGCACGCCGCGGUGAAUACGUUCCCGGGCCUUGUACACACCGCCCGUCACACCACGAGAGUUUGUAACACCCGAAGUCGGUGAG
rnacentral:rRNA from 1 species